GCCCUAGUAACGGCGAGUGAAGCGGCAACAGCUCAAAUUUGAAAUCUGGCGUCUUUGGCGUCCGAGUUGUAAUUUGCAGAGGGCGCUUUGGCAUUGGCAGCGGUCCAAGUUCCUUGGAACAGGACGUCACAGAGGGUGAGAAUCCCGUACGUGGUCGCUAGCCUUUACCGUGUAAAGCCCCUUCGACGAGUCGAGUUGUUUGGGAAUGCAGCUCUAAAUGGGAGGUAAAUUUCUUCUAAAGCUAAAUACUGGCCAGAGACCGAUAGCGCACAAGUAGAGUGAUCGAAAGAUGAAAAGCACUUUGGAAAGAGAGUUAAAAAGCACGUGAAAUUGUUGAAAGGGAAGCGCUUGCAGCCAGACUUGCCUGUAGUUGCUCAUCCGGGUUUUUACCCGGUGCACUCUUCUAUAGGCAGGCCAGCAUCAGUUUGGGCGGUUGGAUAAAGGUCUCUGUCAUGUACCUCUCUUCGGGGAGAACUUAUAGGGGAGACGACAUGCAACCAGCCUGGACUGAGGUCCGCGCAUCUGCUAGGAUGCUGGCGUAAUGGCUGUAAGCGGCCCGUCUUGAAACACGGACCAAGGAGUCUAACAUCUAUGCGAGUGUUUGGGUGUCAAGCCCGAACGCGUAAUGAAAGUGAACGGAGGUGGGAACCUUUCGGGGUGCACCAUCGACCGAUCCUGAUGUCUUCGGAUGGAUUUGAGUAAGAGCAUAGCUGUUGGGACCCGAAAGAUGGUGAACUAUGCUUGAAUAGGGUGAAGCCAGAGGAAACUCUGGUGGAGGCUCGCAGCGGUUCUGACGUGCAAAUCGAUCGUCAAAUUUGGGCAUAGGGGCGAAAGA
rnacentral:rRNA from 1 species